GCUAUUUUGUCUCCUUGGUGACAAGGAGUAUGUUGAGCAGGCCUGGCCACCUCCCUCUGUCCCGUAACCAGAACAGUCAUGGAGUGGCUAUGUGCCCCUGGGAAGAGAAGUCUUCUCUGGGCCUCUGCCACCAGCUCUGGAUCCACAUUCCCCUCUGGAUGUGACCACUGUCUCUGGAUCACCAUGGAUCCUCCCUCGACGCUCAGGAAGGCUGCCAGCUGCUGCCGCCACCGCCUUCUUAUGUUUCUCCUCCUGUCGCCUCCGCUUGCGCAGGCAGUAGUAAACGGCGCCCAGAACGAGCACCAUGCCGAAGAGGCAGCCCAGGAUGGUCAUGAUAUAG